CUGUCACGGACCGCCGCCCUCGCGCGCAGCCACCUCCUACGCACCCUUAGCUCCUGCAACAUCUCGGGUCCCUCGACAUUGCAUUGCCUCUUCUUCUUGUUCCAACCAACCAAAAGGCAAAGGCCAAAUCUUCUUCUUCCUCCAUUGCUUCAGCUCAUCCGCUCCAAUCACCUAAAUUUACAGAAGGCGACUUGGCAAGAGGAUGCGGAGGAGAGAUAGAUAUAGGUAGUGUGAUACUAGCUUGAAAAGGAGGGAUUUUUUGUUGUUGUUGGAUAUUUGGAGAGUGAGGAGAUGCCGACUGGUGCGAUGAAGAGGCUGUUCGUUGAAUUGUUGUAGGCGUCGAACUCCGGCAGGGAGGCGACGGUGCUGUGCGCGCCUCGGCCGCGGAGGAUCCAGAUCCACCCCUGCAGCGCUGACCUCAUCCUCAGCCCUCCUCACUUCCUCCUCACCUCCAACACCACCAACAAGAACUCUUGGAAAUCAACGGAAUUCAGUAGGAUCUGUGAGUAGUUUGACUGUUGAAUUAAUGAAUUGUAGAUGCAGUCUCUUUUGUCUAAUAUAAGUAGCACAUAAUCCAUAUUUAGAUGUUUUAUUUCUUUCAUGUCAGCAAUGCAUGUUUGCUAGCACUUAUUUUCUUGUUAUCAGAAAGGAAACAAAUGGCAUUCCAUAAUUCCAUUACAUUGUUAGCGCGCCAUGCUGGACAUAGUUUUUCUAACAAUUGAUCAUGGUGCUUUUUUAUUUCUCUCUGAAAUCUGAUGAGCUACUCCUACAAUACAUGGCCUGUUUAAGUUUGUGCUGACAAAACAUAGAACUGCCAAAUAUAGUUAUCUGCACGACAUAGAAAGUGAGAUCAGCAAUACACCACUUUUAGUUUCAGGUGACAAGUUUUAUGCAAUACAACAUUUGAAAUCUUCCUAUUCUUCACUGAUUCAAUCUCUUUGAUGGAAUAAGUUCAACAAUAGCCCUAUUUGACCUUAAUCCAAAAUGAUCUUCCUUAUUUUUUAGUAAGAUGAAAACAUCUGUGUCGGUUUUGUGAAUUAUUGUUCUGAUGCCCAAAAUAGUUGGAAAUGCACUGAAAACAACUGUCUCUCGUUUUUUUUUUCUUGACAUCCAUUCUUAUUCAAUCCAUUGGAGACUUCAGGCUUCUUAAUUCUUUGGUAUUGCUUUGGUAGAUUGACCGAAUAUGGUCACAAAUGCAAAGGUGUGAAUGGGCUAAAUGAGGUUUCUUGUGCAAAUUAGAAGAGGCAGUAAAUCUUGUUAUAUUGCUAACUCUAUCUUAGUGACGACCUGCAUGGUAAUAUAUUGGGUUCAUCCUUAAAAAUAUAAUAUUUUAACUCUUCUAUCAUUUAAAAGGUUAUUUACCAUUUUUUUUCCAUUUCUUAACAAGUAGUAUUCCUGAAAUUUCAAAUUAUUCCUGCAAGCAUUAAUUUACCAUUUUGAAAAGAUUACAAAUCUUUUUUGGCCCUGACAAUGCUAGAUAUAAUGGGAAAUUACAUUAUCAUCUAUCGGAUUAGCGCUUUUAACUUUCCUGCUUUUAUGAUGCUUAAUUUUGUGAUGUUCCAUAUUAAGUGCAGCAGAAGACUCUAUUGAAUUAUAGUGUAAGGGCAGACUGGAAAAAUUAAAUUUACAUAAAAAAAUUCAUUUUAAUCACAAAGUUAUUCAACAUGCUCCAAUGUAAUAGAACUGAUUUUCUGUAGACCUAUGUGCAUGGGCAUACUACUGGUCUUCCAAAAGAUUGAAUGGUGAAAAUUGAAAUACACUUUAGAUUAGGUUUGAGUACAGCAUAUUACUUGUUUAAUUUGCCUUGGGCAUGUACUGCUCACUUUCUAUGCAAUAUUAGCGAGGAAAAAAAUUAUCUAGAGGUAUGCUCAAUUUAUUUUUAGUUUGUGAUAUUGGAGUGCGGAGUGUUACCUGUAAACCCAUGUCCAAAUUUUUUUGCGGAGUCAGACACCCUGAGUCCUAGUCGGAUUCCGACACCUGUGUCAGACUCUAAGAAGAAUUUCGCGUGUCCAAUUCUUUAUGAUGAAUCAGACAUGUGAGUCAGAGUCAGAUUCUGACAGUCCAUGUAACACUGGUAUCUACCACACUGCCAGUGCGGUAGAUUUGGUUCAAGCAUGCUUUCAGUCUAUAGAUAUCGGUGCUUAUGGGUCAAAUACUAGGUCAUGAAAAUCAUCCUGGGAGUAGCCUAGGUUGCCCCUUGCUCAGAGAAUUAGAGAGCCUAAUUAUAUAGCCAAAUUCAUAUGGAAUUCGAAAUUUAUUUAUUUUUUCUUGAGUUACAGAAAGUAGGCAAGAAAAUAUUUUAUUGAAUAUGGCAGGGUUUAGCUCAAUAUAUUUGUCCAGGAAACCACCUGUUUUCUUUUGCAGAUAUGCAUGUACUGAUGUACAGUUGACUUUAAGCUUGCAUGAGCUGCAAAGACUAACUUUUUUUGACGAAAACUGCAGAUACUAGCUUGAAAAGUUCUCAUUUUUCAAUGCACACAACAAUUGGAACUAGUCCAGUCCACAAUAAUUCAUGAUUGCAUGCAUACAUAUUCAGGAAUCAAAAUGGUAGGUACUUCGCAAAAGAUGAAAAGAAGGCUGGUUGCUACUGUUGUGUCAGUUUCUCAACCUCAUUCUCACUCUCAACCUGACAUGGCCGUCUCAAAUCUCCCUAUCAAGGCCAUGACCUUGCUCUUUCUCUCCUCUGUAGGUUUGCUCCUACCCUCCUCUUUCAUUUCAUUGCUCUUUCCAUCAUCCUUGCUCCAUCCCUGAACUGGCUUUAGUGUCUUCUUUGGUGGCACUACCAUCUCCACAUUUUCUUCAGCCUCUUCCUUUUCUAUUAGCAUAGGUUCAAGGGCAUCUUCUGUAUACUUCGUUGUAUUGACAUCUUUGUAUAACUCAGAUUCACUGACAACUUCAUUUAGUUCGGUUUCAUCAACAGCUUCUUUUAACUCUGUUUCAUUGGCAGCCUCCUUCAACUCACUGUUAUCAAUGGCUUCCUUCACGGCCUGUACUUUGCUAUUGAUGCCAAUAUCAGCAUUAUCCCUGCCGUUAAAACUGUUGUUGUCUGGCACUUGAUGUUUCUCUUCUGAAAUAAGCUCUACAACUUCUUCAUUUUUGUCUUCCUGUUGGUUAGAGGCUGGCUCACUUGGAUUAUCUCCAAAUAGUAAAUACGCAAUGACAUCAACCUGUUUCAGCUCGACAGGGUCAGGGAGCCGUUCUUGCAAGUGUUCCUCUAUGGAAGGCGUGCUUAUGCUUUCCAUCUCAUCAAAUUCCAUUAACAACUCAACUUCUUGCUCAUUGACUUUGGGUGCCUCUAUCGGUCUUGAUGGUAUACUUGUUCUCUGGAUAGAAGGAACAGAAUUUGCUACCCCCAUUGUUUUCUUCGUUGUUGUGCCAGGAGCACGAACCGAAGGCACCGCUUGAGUUUUUCCACCUGCCAGAGCUCCUGGGGUUGCUUUCUGUGUUCUCUGCUUUGCAGAUGAUGCUGCCAUCUUAUCAACACCUGGCCUUGAAGAGAGGUUACUCUUUUGCAUAGCGGAUGAUGAUUUUGCUGUCCUGUUCAUAUCCUUAGAUGAACGGUUACGUGCUGUAAGGGCUGGAGGCCACACGGAUGAGCCACCAGACUUGUCAGCUUUUCCUUUCGUUGUGUUGGCUGGCUUUGCAGUAGUCGUGGACGAUGAAGUCUGCGGUGCCUUGCUGCUGUGAAUGGAUGAAGAAGCUGAGCCAAAUGUCGACCGGGAUGUUCCUGUGCGGGUGCUGAACGAUGAUGAAGGCCGAUAGGCGUUGGAUGAGCUUGCAUCAUGGGAUGGGGAUAAUUUGCGAUCGGGAGAGCUUGGGACAGACCUCGCUCGUCGAAGCCCCUUUGCAGGAUCAGUGGGUUUGAUUCCUGUGGACAUAGCCCGGAUGGUCCUGUUGUUCCUAGCAUCAGGUUCCCUCCUUGAUGUUGCCAUUGUGGACAGACUUUUCUGCCAUCAACCAAAAAGGCAUAAGUUCGACGGAGCUGUUGAUAUUGUCUGUCAAUUGAGGUGCUGGCACUCAGUUAUAAAGCAACCGUUCUGAUCUUAUGAACUAGAUAUGCAAAGCACGGCACGUAACGUACAGUAAUUCAGCCAGACGACUAGCAAUCUACAACUGAAUGCUUCCUUAUGAAACAAAUGCUCUACAGAUGCAAGAAAGAUUUUAGGAAAUUCCCCAUGGAGAUCAAAACUAUUUGCUGCCAUUUCUGCCAAACGAAAAUGCUGAAACCAUACCUGGAUUGAUCUCGUAGCAGCUCAGAAAAGUUCCAAAGAUUGAUCAACCUCUGUGCAAUUCAUGGCCAGAUGAGCUAGGUAGUUUCUUAGGUGUGGAGAUGGAGGGUGGAAGUUUGCAUGGCUGAUGCUCCACAUUUUAUGGUCUGCCUCUAGUGGUUUUGGUCGUUUUGUGUGUUGAAAUAGUCCUAGGAACUGUGCCGGUGGACAGGGCAUUCUGAUCGUCUGGUUCUUGUGCUUCCAUGGGCUGUAAAUUUGACAGGAGUUCCAUUAAUAGUGAGAAGGGCUUUUAGGAAGGCAUUUCAUUAGUCAUUGUCUAUUAACGGCAGGUGUUGGUUACUUCGAUUCACUAUCUACAUGUUGCAUGUUUGGCAAACCAUCCUCAGAUUCAAUAUUGACCUGCAAGUCUGUAAGAGUUUAUGCUAAGGAAUAUUUGAUCCAAUGUGCCAUGGUUCUGAGAUAUUUGUACUGAUUGGAGUUGGAUUUUGUUCA